rnacentral:rRNA from 1 species
GAUGAACGCUAGCGGCAGGCCUAAUACAUGCAAGUCGAACGGUAAGGCCCUUUCGGGGGUACACGAGUGGCGGACGGGUGCGUAACGCGUAUGCAACAUGCCUUCCAGCGGGGGAUAUACCAGGGGAACUUGGCGCAAUACCCCAUAGAAUUACGGGACCGCAUGGUCUUGUGAUUAAAACUCCGGUGCUGGGAGAUUGGCAUGCGUGACAUUAGCUAGUUGGCGGGGUAACGGCCCACCAAGGCGACGAUGUCUAGCUGGUCUGAGAGGAUGAUCAGCCACACUGGGACUGAGACACGGCCCAGACUCCUACGGGAGGCAGCAGUGGGGAAUAUUGGACAAUGGGGGCAACCCUGAUCCAGCCAUGCCGCGUGUGUGAAGAAGGCCUCGGUUGUAAG